GCUUUAUUGCUUUGCCAGGCAAAGGGGGCCAUGGCAGGCUCAUGCCUUCAAGACUGUGCCCCUCCUUGGGAGAGAUUAGGAGGUGGUUUUUUAGUUUGGGGAGUGGAAAAAAAAUAAAUCAGGCUGAAGAUAAGGACGGGGUAGAGGCAAGCUUGCAAGCUUGCAUUGUCUUUCAAAGCUGGAGUUUAGUGACCUCAGGCCUGGUUCUGGUGGUCCUUCUUCCCAGAAUGAAGAAUGAAUGCUUGGUCAAGUAGUUCUCCCUUUUGUUGGGGGUUUUAGUUCUGCAGAAGGAUUCAAAGAUAUUGUUAUGUCUAUUCCUUGAGAAGCCAGGACCCUGCCCCAAGGCUGCACAAUUGUCUCUUGACAGCUCCUCCCAGGUCUCUGCAUCCCCUCCCUUCCCUGAUUAGCCCUUUGGAACUCAGGGAAGUUGGCGGAGGCUGUUUUAUUCCCAAAAGCAAGAAGUGGGAGACCCAGAAAUGCUUGUGUCCAGGAACCCCAAAGCAUCCUGCCCAGUUAUACCAGCACACAGGGGCAUCCAGCUCACACCCUGCCCUGAGGCCCAGGCUUCCUCCCUGUCCACAGCCGGCUCGCUGAGGGAAAAGGGAGACCCCCAGAAGGAGCGGCCACAUCCAGGGGUGGCCACAAAGAGGGAGCUCUCAAGGCCCCUGAUAAGUGACAGAGCUAGGAGCUAGGGCGCAGGCAGAGGGUACGGGGCCUCAGCCAGACUGAAACUGACAGCACCAACAGCCUGAACCUAGCCAGAACCAAGAGUGGGACUCGAACCCAGCCUAAACCCAGAUUGGGACUUGAACCCACAGUUUUAAAUUAAAUUCAUUCACCUGUGUUUGGACUUACUCAGGUCCAGGUUCUUUGUGUCUCAGCACAAAUAAGGAAUUCAGCGAGAGACAAAGUGAUAAGCAAGAAAUAGAUCUAUUAAGAUAGGACGCUUGUGACAUAUGCCAGCAGGCAGGCAAGGAGGCUCUGCCUCCAGGAUCCAGCGGGCUACAGUUUUAUCCUCCAAGGGGUGUGAGGGUUGGAAAAGCCCACCUCUUCCUUUCUGGGAGUAGCAGCUCCUCCUUGGUACCUGGUAAGGUGUGUAUUCAAAUCAGCAGAAGGGUGGUCCUCAAACUCCUGGCUCUGGUGUGAAUCUGAAUGCAGGCCCCAUCCCCUACCCAAUGACCUGAGGCAGUUUUCACACUGCCUCUUGUCAAGCAAGCCCGCCUAGUGCUGAUGGCUUUUUUGAGCAAUUUAUUAACUUACAGUCCUCUCCCAAAGUCCCCUAAGUCUUCCUCUUUAUCUAUGGUCCCUUAUGGGGACUUCUACAACUUCUAAAAAGGAUGCGGGCUUGUCCCUCGAUGGAAAUUUCUCUCUCCCAGCCCAGGGAUUCCAGCGACUCCAGCGACACACAGAACACUUCCCCCAGGAUUUCCACCUCGGGGAUGGGAAGGGCGGGGUUGCAGAAGAGGCCAGCUCCAGACAAGAGUCAAAGGCCAGGAGUCCCCCUUGUGGCUCAGCAGGUUAAGAACCCAACACAGCGUCUGUGAAGAUGUGGGUUCGAUCCCUGGCCUUGCUCAGUGGGCUAAGGAUCCUCAGUGACCUGCGGCAAAGGUCGAAAAUGUGGCUUGGAUCCAGUGUUGCUGUGCCUGUGGUGUAGANNNNNNNNNNNNNNNNNNNNNNNNNNNNNNNNNNNNNNNNNNNNNNNNNNNAAAAAAAAAAAAAAAAAAAAAAAAAAAAAAAGUCAAAGUCCAGAGGCUCCUGGAGAGGUCAUUCAGGCAGGAACUAAGGACACAAGUUUGGACAUCUUCAAAGAGUUGAAAUAACCUUUUCUUCUGGGAAGUUGGGAGGCCCUUGGCCCCCACCCCCACCCCCCACCCCCAGUGCCACAUGGUGCACUUCCACCACAGUCCCUUCCAGCCACAUGGCUCUCUGAUAAGAGCCCUCCAGCAAAACCCCGGCUGUGGCUGCAGGGAAAGGCUGGGAGUUGGGGCUGAGGGGAGCAGCCGGACCUCUGCCCCAGCUUCUCCUUUGAGAGGAGGAGCUUUCUGGCCUCCCCUUUCCCCAGAACACCUGGAGGUUGCUGGGGAAGGAGGAAGAGCCAGCGUGCGGAGUUGGGAGCUCUCAUUGUAGGUCUGUCUCCACCUGCUGAAGGUGACAUGGUUACAGUGGCGGUGCUGCACCUGCCCCCACCUCACCGUGGGAAACUCGUGAGGCUAAAAUCACAUGAUGGGGGGGAGGGCUUUCUGGGUUGGAGGCGUCUGCACUCAGGCAGGGUGCCAUUGAAGUGCCUUCUGUGAUUUUAGAUAGUCGUUCUGUGAAGGCACGAAGUUGUUAGCAACGUUUAUCAUUAAGGUAUUUUGUGUCACUGAACUGCACUCGCAUGUCCCCACCCACCCCCCAGCCGCCGCCCACCCCCAAUAGGAAGCGAUUCCAGAGCAAACACUUGGGGAUUAAGGGUCCUGCCUGAAGGACGAUGGGACUUCCCUUUUCUCUUUCCCCUAAAAGAGGCUCUUGGCCUCUCUCCUCAGUGGCUCCUUCUUAAACCUAGAAAUGAAGGGAAAGGAAAAAAACAUUUCAGCCAGCGAACUUUCAAGGCUCCGUCUCCAGGAUUCUCAAGGGAAUUUAUCACCCAUGCGUAGAGGAGAGACGAAGACUGACCAAAAGGCGAACCAAAGCUACAGUGAGGGACCACCUCACAGCAGUCAGAAUGGCCACCAUCCAAGAGCCUACAAAAAAAACCACUGGAGAAGGUGUGGGUAAAAGGAAACCCUCUUACACUGUUGGUAGGAUGUAAAUUGGUGCAGCCACUAUGGAGAACAGUAUGGAGGUUCCUUAAAAAAUGGAAAGAAUUACCAUUCGACCCAGCAAUCCCAUUCCUAGGCGUAUAUCCAGACAAAACUCCAAUUCAGAAAAGUUACAUGCACCCCAGGGUUCACAGCAGCACUGUUUAGAAUAGCUGAGACAUGCAAGCAACUUAACUGUCCAUCGAUAGGUGAGUGGAUGAAGAGGUGGUAGAUAUAUAUAUACAUGCAAUGGCAUUCUACUCAGCCAUAAAAAAAAAAGGAAAUGAUGCCAUCUGCAGCAACGUGGAUGGGACUAGAGGCUCUCAUCCUGAGUGAAGUCAGUCAGAACAAGAAAGACAAAUAUCAUGUGAUACCCCUCAUAUGUGCAAUCUAAAAACAUAAUACAAAAGAACUUGCAAAACUGAAACCGACUCAAAGACAUAGAAGACGGACUUACGGUUACCAAAGGAGGAAGGAAGAGGGAUAAAAGAUUUUUUUUUUUUUUAAGGCCACGUCUGUGGCAUAUGGGAAUUCUGAAAGGCCAGUAGAAGGACAAUCCCCCUUGUCCGGACUCGGAAGAGGCGACACCCUAAAUCACUCACGAGAAGCGGUCUUGAUGCAAACAGCAAGAGGAUUUUUAUUCCAAGCGCGCUGGGGCCCACAGUCGUAGGCCACGCAGGGGUAGAGGACUGCGGC
rnacentral:lncRNA from 1 species